GACGAACGCUGGCGGCGUGCUUAACACAUGCAAGUCGAACGGAAAGGCCCUGCUUUUGUGUGGUGCUCGAGUGGCGAACGGGUGAGUAACACGUGAGUAACCUGCCCUUGACUUUGGGAUAACUUCAGGAAACUGGGGCUAAUACCGGAUAGGAGCUCCUGCUGCAUGGUGGGGGUUGGAAAGUUUCGGCGGUUGGGGAUGGACUCGCGGCUUAUCAGCUUGUUGGUGGGGUAGUGGCUUACCAAGGCUUUGACGGGUAGCCGGCAUGAGAGGGUGACCGGCCACAUUGGGACUGCGAUACGGCCCAGACUCGUACGGGAGGCAGCAGUGGGGAAUAUGGCACAAUGGGCGGAAGCCUGAUGCAGAAACGCCGCGUGCGGGAUGAAGGCCUACGGGUUGUAACCCGCAUUAGCUUGUGACGAAGCGGGAGUGACGGUAAUGGGUAAAGAAGCACCGGCUAACUACGUG
rnacentral:rRNA from 1 species